UUAAGUUAAUAAGGGCGCACGGUGGAUGCCUUGGCACUAGGAGCCGACGAAGGACGUGACAAACGACGAUAUGCCUUGGGUAGCUGUAAGUAAGCGAUGAUCCAGGGAUUUCCGAAUGGGGGAACCCAACAGGUAGUACCUGUUGCCCGCAUCUGUUAAGGAUGUGAGGAGGAAGACGCAGUGAACUGAAACAUCUAAGUAGCUGCAGGAAGAGAAAGCAAAAGCGAUUGCCUUAGUAGCGGCGAGCGAAACGGCAGGAGGGCAAACCGAAGAGUUUACUCUUCGGGGUUGUAGGACUGCAAUGUGGACUCAAAGAUUAUAGAAGAAUGAUUUGGGAAGAUCAGCCAAAGAGAGUAAUAGCCUCGUAUUUAAAAUAGUCUUUGUACUUAGCAGUAUCCUGAGUACGGCGGGACACGUGAAAUCCCGUCGGAAUCUGGGAGGACCAUCUCCCAACCCUAAAUACUCCCUAGUGACCGAUAGUGAACCAGUACCGUGAGGGAAAGGUGAAAAGCACCCCGGGAGGGGAGUGAAAUAGAACCUGAAACCGUGUGCCUACAACAAGUUCGAGCCCGUUAAUGGGUGAGAGCGUGCCUUUUGUAGAAUGAACCGGCGAGUUACGUUAUGAUGCGAGGUUAAGUUGAAGAGACGGAGCCGUAGGGAAACCGAGUCUGAAUAGGGCGCCUUAGUAUCAUGACGUAGACCCGAAACCAUGUGACCUACCCAUGAGCAGGUUGAAGGUGCGGUAAGACGCACUGGAGGACCGAACCAGGGCACGUUGAAAAGUGCUUGGAUGACUUGUGGGUAGCGGAGAAAUUCCAAACGAACUUGGAGAUAGCUGGUUCUCUCCGAAAUAGCUUUAGGGCUAGCGUCGACAUUAGAGAUUCUUGGAGGUAGAGCACUGUUUGGGUGAGGGGUCCAUCCCGGAUUACCAAUCUCAGAUAAACUCCGAAUGCCAAUGAAUUAUGGUCGGCAGUCAGACUGCGAGUGCUAAGAUCCGUAGUCGAAAGGGAAACAGCCCAGACCACCAGCUAAGGUCCCAAAAUAAUUGUUAAGUGGAAAAGGAUGUGGGGUUGCACAGACAACUAGGAUGUUAGCUUAGAAGCAGCUAUUCAUUCAAAGAGUGCGUAAUAGCUCACUAGUCGAGUGACCCUGCGCCGAAAAUGUACCGGGGCUAAAACAAUUUACCGAAGCUGUGGAUACCUUUAUAGGUAUGGUAGGAGAGCGUUCUAUGUGUGAUGAAGGUAUACCGUGAGGAGUGCUGGAACGCAUAGAAGUGAGAAUGCCGGUAUGAGUAGCGAAAGACAGGUGAGAAUCCUGUCCACCGUAAGACUAAGGUUUCCAGGGGAAGGCUCGUCCGCCCUGGGUUAGUCGGGACCUAAGGAGAGACCGAAAGGUGUAUCCGAUGGACAACAGGUUGAUAUUCCUGUACUAGAGUAUGUAGUGAUGGAGGGACGCAGUAGGCUAACUAAAGCAGACGAUUGGAAGAGUCUGUCUAAGCAGUGAGGUGUGAAUUGAGUCAAAUACUUAAUUCUAUAACAUUGAGCUGUGAUGGGGAGCGAAGUUUAGUAGCGAAGUUAGUGACGUCACACUGCCAAGAAAAGCUUCUAGCGUUUAAACAUACUCUACCCGUACCGCAAACCGACACAGGUAGUCGAGGCGAGUAGCCUCAGGUGAGCGAGAGAACUCUCGUUAAGGAACUCGGCAAAAUGACCCCGUAACUUCGGGAGAAGGGGUGCUGACUUCAAGUCAGCCGCAGUGAAUAGGCCCAAGCAACUGUUUAUCAAAAACACAGCUCUCUGCUAAAUCGUAAGAUGAUGUAUAGGGGGUGACGCCUGCCCGGUGCUGGAAGGUUAAGAGGAGUGCUUAGCGUAAGCGAAGGUAUGAAUUGAAGCCCCAGUAAACGGCGGCCGUAACUAUAACGGUCCUAAGGUAGCGAAAUUCCUUGUCGGGUAAGUUCCGACCCGCACGAAAGGCGUAAUGAUUUGGGCACUGUCUCAACGAGAGACUCGGUGAAAUUUUAGUACCUGUGAAGAUGCAGGUUACCCGCGACAGGACGGAAAGACCCCAUGGAGCUUUACUGCAGUUUGAUAUUGAGUGUCUGUACCACAUGUACAGGAUAGGUAGGAGUCUAAGAGAUCGGGACGCCAGUUUCGAAGGAGACGCUGUUGGGAUACUACCCUUGUGUUAUGGCCACUCUAACCCAGAUAGGUGAACCCUAUCGGAGACAGUGUCUGACGGGCAGUUUGACUGGGGCGGUCGCCUCCUAAAAGGUAACGGAGGCGCCCAAAGGUUCCCUCAGAAUGGUUGGAAAUCAUUCGCAGAGUGUAAAGGUAUAAGGGAGCUUGACUGCGAGAGCUACAACUCGAGCAGGGACGAAAGUCGGGCUUAGUGAUCCGGUGGUUCCGUAUGGAAGGGCCAUCGCUCAACGGAUAAAAGCUACCCUGGGGAUAACAGGCUUAUCUCCCCCAAGAGUUCACAUCGACGGGGAGGUUUGGCACCUCGAUGUCGGCUCGUCGCAUCCUGGGGCUGUAGUCGGUCCCAAGGGUUGGGCUGUUCGCCCAUUAAAGCGGCACGCGAGCUGGGUUCAGAACGUCGUGAGACAGUUCGGUCCCUAUCCGUCGCGGGCGUAGGAAAUUUGAGAGGAUCUGCUCCUAGUACGAGAGGACCAGAGUGGACUUACCGCUGGUGUACCAGUUGUCUUGCCAAAGGCAUCGCUGGGUAGCUAUGUAGGGAAGGGAUAAACGCUGAAAGCAUCUAAGUGUGAAACCCACCUCAAGAUGAGAUUUCCCAUGAUUAUAUAUCAGUAAGAGCCCUGAGAGAUGAUCAGGUAGAUAGGUUAGAAGUGGAAGUGUGGCGACACAUGUAGCGGACUAAUACUAAUAGCUCGAGGACUUAUCCAA
rnacentral:rRNA from 1 species